rnacentral:rRNA from 1 species
CAGCCGCCGCGGGAAUACGGAGGGUCCGAGCGUUAAUCGGAAUUACUGGGCGUAAAGCGUGCGCAGGCGGUUUGUUAAGCGAGAUGUGAAAGCCCUGGGCUCAACCUAGGAAUAGCAUUUCGAACUGGCGAACUAGAGUUUUGUAGAGGGGGGUAGAAUUCCAGGUGUAGCGGUGAAAUGCGUAGAGAUCUGGAGGAAUACCGGUGGCGAAGGCGGCCCCCUGGACAAAGACUGACGCUCAUGCACGAAAGCGUGGGGAGCAAACAGGAUUAGAUACCCGGGUAGUCCCUGUCUCUUAUAA